AGCCAAGAUGGCCAAAUAGAACAGCUCCAGUAUACAGCUCCCAGUAUGAGCGACGAAGAAGACGGCAGAAGACGGGUGAUUUCUGCAUUUCCAUCUGAGCCAUCUUUUCAUCACAAUGGGACAGCCUGUCUGAGAAUGAGGCCAAUGCAAAGAAGAAAGUGGAGCCCACGUACAGAGAGAUGAUACAUUGAUGAUAUCAUGUGUCCUAGAUUCAUGCUUCAUAUGAAGGAGUCCCAUUAUACCGAUACUGAAACACUGAAGUCUUGUUCGUGUCUUUUUUAUGUUUUUCAGAUUGGGUAAUUUCUAUUGAUCUGUUUUCAUUAUCAUUGACUCUGAUUUUCUUUUGCUCUCCAAUUGGCUGUAAAGACCAUUGGUCCAUUUUUCAAUUUAUAUGUUUUAAUUUGAGAUCCUAGAAUUUUCAUUUGUUUCUUUACAAAUAAUUAAUCUGUUGAUUUUCACUUUGAAAUCACUCUUUUUCUGUUAAUUUAACACGUGAUAUAUUGACAUUUUUUAAAUUGAUUGCUCUUUCUCUGAAUCUUGCUUAACAUUGCCUCAUUUCAUUAUGCUUUUGGUAAAUUUUGAUUGUCUACUAGACAUUUUGAAUGUAUGAUGCACUGUGGACUCUGGCUUCAGUUAUCUUCCUCUGAAGUGCAUUUAUUUUUAUUUUAAUAAGUACUUAAAUUAUCGACUGAUCACAAUGAAGUUGUGCAUUCUUUGGUUUACAAUUUUUUUUCUUCCUUCAGAUUUCCCUUAAUUCUAUGGUCAGUCUUUAGUCCUGGGACCUAGCCUCUACUCCUAAAGCUUACCCCGUCUGGGGUUUCAGUGGAAAACCCAAGGUGACUACCACUUGUCUAAUGGUAGUAUCCAAGCUCCGAAUUCUUUUUUUUUUUUUAACCUGUGGUAGAGAACAGCUGAAAUUUCCACUCAGCUUUUUCAGAUAUGUACUUAUUGCUCUCUUCUACGUUCUUUGGAUAUAUGUGAAAUUCAGGGUCAGCCACGAUGUGAGAGGAGUUCACAGGUAAAUUGUGGAGCCAACCCAAUGUGGCUUUCCCCUUAUCAGGACUAGUCUCUCAAUUUCCAGAUACUUUGUCAGCUGCAGUCUCUGUCCUCUAACACAGUGGUCCCCAAGCUUUCUG
rnacentral:lncRNA from 1 species